rnacentral:tRNA from 2 species
GUUUCUGUAGUUGAAAUACAACGAUGGUUUUUCGAGUCAAAGGUCUUGGUUAGAGUCCGAGUGGAAACU